rnacentral:rRNA from 1 species
AUUGAACGCUGGCGGCAUGCUUUACACAUGCAAGUCGAACGGACUUAGGUGCUUGCACCUAGGUUAGUGGCGAACGGGUGAGUAAUGCAUCGGAACGUACCGUGUAAUGGGGGAUAACGCAGCGAAAGUUGUGCUAAUACCGCAUACGAUCUACGGAUGAAAGCAGGGGAUCGCAAGACCUUGCGUUAUACGAGCGGCCGAUGUCGGAUUAGCUAGUUGGUAGGGUAAAGGCCUACCAAGGCAACGAUCCGUAGCGGGUCUGAGAGGAUGAUCCGCCACACUGGGACUGAGACACGGCCCAGACUCCUACGGGAGGCAGCAGUGGGGAAUUUUGGACAACGGGCGCAAGCCUGAUCCAGCCAUGCCGCGUGAGUGAAGAAGGCC